GACGAACGCUGGCGGCGUGCUUAACACAUGCAAGUCGAACGGAAAGGCCCUGCGUUUGUGGGGUGCUCGAGUGGCGAACGGGUGAGUAACACGUGAGUAACCUGCCCUUGACUUUGGGAUAACUUCAGGAAACUGGGGCUAAUACCGGAUAGGAGCUCCUGCUGCAGGGUGGGGGUUGGAAAGUUGAGGCGGGUGGGGAUGGACUCGCGGCUUAUCAGCUUGUUGGUGGGGUAGUGGCUUACCAAGGCUUGGACGGGUAGCCGGCCUGGGAGGGUGACCGGCCACCUUGGGACUGCGAUACGGACCAGACUCGUACGGGAGGCAGCAGUGGGGAAUAUUGCACAAUGGGCGGAAGCCUGAUGCAGCAACGUCGCGUGCGGGAUGACGGCCUUCGGGUUGUAAACCGCUUUAGCCUGUGACGAAGCGUGAGUGACGGUAAUGGGUAAAGAAGCACCGGCUAACUACGUG
rnacentral:rRNA from 1 species